UACAGGGGGUGCAAACGUUGCUCGGAAUUAUUGGGCGUAAAGCGCGCGUAGGCGGCUACUUAAGUCGGAUGUGAAAGCCCUUGGCUCAACUGGGGAGGGUCACGCGAUACUGAUCGACUCGAAGGCAGGAGAGGGAAGUGGAAUUCCCGGUGUAGUGGUGAAAUGCGUAGAUAUCGGGAGGAACACCAGUGGCGAAGGCGACUUCCUGGCCUGUUCUUGACGCUGAGGCGCGAAAGCUAGGGGAGCAAACGGG
rnacentral:rRNA from 1 species